rnacentral:rRNA from 1 species
UCCUGACUGACCGAUAGUGAACCAGUACCGUGAGGGAAAGGCGAAAAGAACCCCGGCGAGGGGAGUGAAAAAGAACCUGAAACCGUGUACGUACAAGCAGUGGGAGCACAGAGCAAUCUGUGUGACUGCGUACCUUUUGUAUAAUGGGUCAGCGACUUAUAUUCUGUAGCAAGGUUAACCGAAUAGGGGAGCCGAAGGGAAACCGAGUCUUAACUGGGCGUUAAGUUGCAGGGUAUAGACCCGAAACCCGGUGAUCUAGCCAUGGGCAGGUUGAAGGUUGGGUAACACUAACUGGAGGACCGAACCGACUAAUGUUGAAAAAUUAGCGGAUGACUUGUGGCUGGGGGUGAAAGGCCAAUCAAACCGGGAGAUAGCUGGUUCUCCCCGAAAGCUAUUUAGGUAGCGCCUCGUGAAUUCAUCUCCGGGGGUAGAGCACUGUUUCGGCAAGGGGGUCAUCCCGACUUACCAACCCGAUGCAAACUGCGAAUACCGGAGAAUGUUAUCACGGGAGACACACGGCGGGUGCUAACGUCCGUCGUGAAGAGGGAAACAACCCAGACCGCCAGCUAAGGUCCCAAAGUCAUGGUUAAGUGGGAAACGAUGUGGGAAGGCCCAGACAGCCAGGAUGUUGGCUUAGAAGCAGCCAUCAUUUAAAGAAAGCGUAAUAGCUCACUGGUCGAGUCGGCCUGCGCGGAAGAUGUAACGGGGCUAAACCAUGCACCGAAGCUGCGGCAGCGACGCUUAUGCGUUGUUGGGUAGGGGAGCGUUCUGUAAGCCUGUGAAGGUGUACUGUGAGGUAUGCUGGAGGUAUCAGAAGUGCGAAUGCUGACAUAAGUAACGAUAAAGCGGGUGAAAAGCCCGCUCGCCGGAAGACCAAGGGUUCCUGUCCAACGUUAAUCGGGGCAGGGUGAGUCGACCCCUAAGGCGAGGCCGAAAGGCGUAGUCGAUGGGAAACAGGUUAAUAUUCCUGUACUUGGUGUUACUGCGAAGGGGGGACGGAGAAGGCUAUGUUGGCCGGGCGACGGUUGUCCCGGUUUAAGCGUGUAGGCUGGUUUUCCAGGCAAAUCCGGAAAAUCAAGGCUGAGGC